rnacentral:rRNA from 1 species
AACGAACGCUGGCGGCAGGCCUAACACAUGCAAGUCGAACGCCGUAGCAAUACGGAGUGGCAGACGGGUGAGUAACGCGUGGGAACAUACCCUCCGGUUCGGAAUAACUCAGGGAAACUUGAGCUAAUACCGGAUACGUCCAAGGUUUUAAUCGGCCUUGGAGAAAGAUUUAUCGCCGGAGGAUUGGCCCGCGUCUGAUUAGCUUGUUGGUGAGGUAAUGGCUCACCAAGGCGACGAUCAGAGCUGGUCUGAGAGGAUGAUCAGCCACAUUGGGACUGAGACACGGCCCAAACUCCUACGGGAGGCAGCAGUGGGGAAUAUUGGACAAUGGGCGCAAGCCUGAUCCAGCCAUGCCGCGUGAGUGAUGAAGGCCUUAGGGUUGUAAAGCUCUUUUACCCGGGAAGAUAAUGACGGUACGGGAGAAUAAGCCCCGGCUAACUUCGUGCCAGCCGCCGCCGUAAU